rnacentral:rRNA from 1 species
UUUUAUUUGAGAGUUUGAUCCUGGCUCAGGAUGAACGCUGGCGGCGUGCCUAACACAUGCAAGUUGAGCGAUUUACUUCGGUAAAGAGCGGCGGACGGGUGAGUAACGCGUGGGUAACCUACCCUGUACACACGGAUAACAUACCGAAAGGUAUGCUAAUACGGGAUAAUAUAUUUGAGAGGCAUCUCUUGAAUAUCAAAGGUGAGCCAGUACAGGAUGGACCCGCGUCUGAUUAGCUAGUUGGUAAGGUAAAGGCUUACCAAGGCGACGAUCAGUAGCCGACCUGAGAGGGUGAUCGGCCACAUUGGAACUGAGACACGGUCCAAACUCCUACGGGAGGCAGCAGUGAGGAAUAUUGCACAAUGGGCGAAAGCCUGAUGCAGCAACGCCGCG